rnacentral:RNase_P_RNA from 1 species
AAAGUUAAUUAAAACAGUCGCUUUUAUUAAUUAAUAAAAGAGGAAAGUCCGGACUCCGUAGGGUAUGGUGCCAGAUAAUUACUGGGAAGUUUAAACUUACGAAUAGUGCAACAGAAAAAAUACCGCCAUAUUCUAAAAUAUGGUAAGGGUGAAAAGGUAUGGUAAAAGCAUACCGGUAUAUUAGUAAUAAUAUAUGUCAAUGUAAACUCCACCAGGAGCAAGGCUAAAUAAGGUUCGUAUUACCCGUACUAUGAAUCUGGGUAAGCUGCUUGAAAUAAUAAGUGAUUAUUAUUCUAGAUAAAUGACUGUUCUAGACAGAAUCCGGCUUAAUAAUUAACUUUAUAA